rnacentral:rRNA from 1 species
UACGGAGGGAGCUAGCGUUGUUCGGAAUUACUGGGCGUAAAGCGCGCGUAGGCGGCUUUGUAAGUUAGAGGUGAAAGCCCGGAGCUCAACUCCGGAACUGCCUUUAAAACUGCAUCGCUUGAAUCCAGGAGAGGUGAGUGGAAUUCCGAGUGUAGAGGUGAAAUUCGUAGAUAUUCGGAAGAACACCGGUGGCGAAGGCGGCCUUCUGGACAGUGACUGACGGCUCAUGGCACGAAAGCGUGGGGACGCAA